AGCAGUAGCCGCGGUAAUACAGAGGGUGCAAGCGUUAAUCGGAAUUACUGGGCGUAAAGCGCGCGUAGGUGGUUUGUUAAGUUGGAUGUGAAAGCCCCGGGCUCAACCUGGGAACUGCAUCCAAAACUGGCAAGCUAGAGUACGGUAGAGGGUGGUGGAAUUUCCUGUGUAGCGGUGAAAUGCGUAGAUAUAGGAAGGAACACCAGUGGCGAAGGCGACCACCUGGACUGAUACUGACACUGAGGUGCGAAAGCGUGGGGAGCAAACAGGAUUAGAUACCCGCGUAGUCCCUGUCUCUUAUAC
rnacentral:rRNA from 1 species